rnacentral:rRNA from 1 species
GAGGGAGGCGGCCGCGUGUCUAGGCGGGAGGGAGGGUCGCGGCCGUGCAUGUCCAGGCCGACGAGGUCCAGGCCGACGAGGAGUAGAGGCGGAGCGGCGCCGGCCGUCGCGUCGCGUCGAGGGCGGCGGAGGAGGGGGCGAGAGGGCAGUCGUGCCAGGUGCCGAGGGCCUAGACUUCGUCGGCGUGGCACAACGGCGUGUCGUGUCGUGUUGUUGUCCAGCGUCGAUCGAUCCGUAGUCGCCGUGGCCAGUGGCCGCCGUCGCAUGUAGUGGCGCGCGCAGUUGCCUACGUCUGUACACAGUGAAGAAACAUAACGUUGCUACCACUUGAACAACACUACCGUAUAACAUCCGGUUACGGUCCGAAGCUCUCCUUCUUCGGUACUUUUACGUCGUCUGGGACAAAGUUGUUGUUCUUAAGUACCAAUUUGUUGUCCGUUAGGACGUCCUCUGUAAACGAGUUGAGUCUUUAUUAUACGUCCCAAGGUGAAACGGGCAAGAAGGAGGAGAAGGCUGAGAAGGAUUAAAGUUGAAAAAAAGAGUCAGCCCUGUUCCGAGGUUAUUGACACACCAUCCACCUAGAAGUGGACCGGUUCGUUCAGGUCACUGUUGGUGAUGCCAAGUACAGCGAAGCUGGAGGGGCGUUGUUACUAGUGAACUCCAUCAGCAGGUACAAACAGGUAACAACUACGAACGCAGAAGAGCAACGAACACGAAGAGUUGAAUUUUGAACACGUAACAACUACCAUCUCAGGUGUUCGCAACUACGAAUAUAACAUGUAUUAAGAAUCGAAGAUAAACUC